GGGAAUAUUGGACAAUGGGGGCAACCCUGAUCCAGCAAUGCCGCGUGUGUGAAGAAGGUCUUCGGAUUGUAAAGCACUUUCGACGGGGACGAUGAUGACGGUACCCGUAGAAGAAGCCCCGGCUAACUUCGUGCCAGCAGCCGCGGUAAUACGAAGGGGGCUAGCGUUGCUCGGAAUGACNUGGGCGUAAAGGGCGUGUAGGCGGUUUACACAGUCAGAUGUGAAAUCCCCGGGCUUAACCUGGGAGCUGCAUUUGAUACGUGUAGACUAGAGUGUGAGAGAGGGUUGUGGAAUUCCCAGUGUAGAGGUGAAAUUCGUAGAUAUUGGGAAGAACACCGGUGGCGAAGGCGGCAACCUGGCUCAUGACUGACGCUGAGGCGCGAAAGCGUGGGGAGCAAACAGGAUUAGAUACCCUGGUAGUCCACGCUGUAAACGAUGUGUGCUAGAUGUUGGGUAACUUUGUUAUUCAGUGUCGCAGUUAACGCGUUAAGCACACCGCCUGGGGAGUACGGCCGCAAGGUUGAAACUCUGAAAAGUGAA
rnacentral:rRNA from 1 species